GUAAACUGUUGGAUAUCUUAUUGGGUAGAAACAAAGACUUGUGCCCAUCAGCCUUUCUCCUGUUGAUCCAAAAGAGAAAAAAAGAACAGGGAAAAGGUUAGAAACUCCAUAGCUUGCCCUUCAGUUAAUACCCACUCAGGUCUCAAAUAUUUUUUUUGGCUCACUCGCCAUUACAGAGAGAACCUUUACCAUUUGCAUGUCAG